UAACCAAAAAAAAUUACAAUCUACAAUAUUUUUGAAAUAUGUGAUACCCCAGAAAUAUUUGAUCCGGGAGAAUAUCCACACAAUAUCUUAACACGCAAUAACUUUGAAAAACCUAGAUUAUUCACCUCUCUAUAUAUACCGACGAUUAAGAAGAAGCUAACAUCCAUUUACAACUCAUAAUGGCAUGAUACCCCAAGAAAUAUGGUUUUUAUCGACGAUCUCAAGCCCUACAAAGACGAAUGGCGAGUUCGUGUCAAAGCUCUUCAUUCUUGGAAACCGAAACCCAUUUUUGGAGGGGAGACUCUUGAUUUCAUACUAGCACACAAGACUGUAAGAGCUUGAGUUUCUUUACUUUGAUCUAAUAAAAAAAAAUCUAUGUUGAAUUAGAUCCAGGUUCUUUUAUAUUUUUACAAUUCUAUUGUGAUUUGUGUCAUUCAAACACCUAUAAUAUCUAACCCAAGUAAUUACAGACUUUGUUUAUCUCGUAUUUUACUUUUCUGCAAUUUUAAUUAAAACGUGACUUAAUUUAAAAGUAUUAAUAUAUCUACAUUGGUUUUGUAUUUUUGAAACCUGCAGUUAUAAGCUUCAUGUGUUAGUGAAAUAUGACACUUGAUCAUCCGAGUUAAUGUUGCUUGAUACUGUGGCUACAAGUAUUAUUGGUGAUAAAGUUGUUGAACUUUGGGACAGGUCAUAUGAUGAGAUUGAAGACCAAGAUAUUCCUAUCCAAAACAUGGUAGGAAAAUCGUUUUGUUUUGGGCUUUCCAUCACCGCUGAUAAUGUGACCAACGGAUCAGCUACAUUUAAGUUUGUUGUUUGGCUUUUUUGUUUCAUGUUGUUUUUGGAAUUUCUGGAUUUUGUUUGGAUUUCGUUUUUUUCAAUACUUUUCAUUUAAAUUCUAUUUUUAAUCAAUAAACUUGGCUUUUACUAAUAAUCAUGUCAACCAGUUAAACUAAGACCAUAGUAAUGUACAAGUCGAUUCCAUAAUUACCUUACCAGCAACUUAGCAUGUAACACUCUCACUAUAAUUUUUUGUAUAGUACUACAAUAGGUAUAAUUAACUCAUAAUCAUUUCGAAAAUACCUAUUUACGCAGUUAGUAAGCCAAUAUUAUCAAUGUGAUUGCCAUCCCUUCAGCUCUUAACGUUCCAACACAAACCUAUAAAUAUUUUGUAAAAAAAUAUAUCUGCAAAAAUAGAUUCUCAUAAAAGGGAAUUGCAAAAAAAAUAAUAAUAACUAAAAAUCGUUUUGUAAUAUAGAUUAUCAUAAAAGAUAUUUUUUUUUACCAUAAUUUAAAUAUAAAUUAUUAACUAUCAACUUUAUUUAUGCUAAAAACGAAAAUUAAGAUCCUCUAAAUCUUUUGCACGCUAUGUAUCUCAAAAGUCUCUUUUAUUGCAUAACCGAUUACUAAUCCUACAUGUUUCUACUUUUCUUUCAUAUCAUCAGCAAAUCAUACGAUAAUUCAUUCACAUAGAGUUAAAAUCUUCUAAACAAAUUACUAACCGUGUUUUGCUCCUGUUUGAUGUCAAGUGCAUUGACUAAGUUUGGUUUAGCUGACGUCUUUUGGUUCUCCAAAACGUCAAUUAAUCAUGCAGAUCAAAGAAAACAGUGUCAUUAUUUCCAUUAGAUAAGAGAAAUCUAUUCAUGAAUAAGAGAGGUAUUUUUUUCAAAAAAAAAA